rnacentral:rRNA from 1 species
CCAAUAGCGUAUAUUAAAGUUGUUGCAGUUAAAAAGCUCGUAGUUGAAUUUCGGGAUCAAGGAAUCGGUCAUGCCUCGGUAUGUACUGGUUUUAUUGGUUCUCACCUUCUAAAGAACCAUAAUGUCAUUUAUUUGAUGUUAUGGGGAAUUAGGACUGUUACCUUGAAAAAAUUAGAGUGUUUAAAGCAAGCUUACGCUUGAAUACAUUAGCAUGGAAUAAUGAAAUAGGACAUCAGAUUCUAUUUUGUUGGUUUCUAGGAUCGAUGUAAUGAUUAAUAGGGAUAGUUGGGGGCAUUAGUAUUCAAUUGUCAGAGGUGAAAUUCUUGGAUUUAUUGAAGACUAACUACUGCGAAAGCAUUUGCCAAGGAUGUUUUCAUUAAUCAAGAACGAAAGUUAGGGGAUCGAAGACGAUCAGAUACCGUCGUAGUCUUAACCAUAAACUAUGCCGACUAGGGAUCGGAUGAUGUUAAUUUUUUAAUGACUCAUUCGGCGCCUUACG